rfam:Salmo salar isolate Sally breed double haploid chromosome ssa15, whole genome shotgun sequence.
CUUCAGUGAUGAUACGAUGGCGAGUCGGAACGGGACGCAGCGGGUCUCUGGGGAUCACUGGGUCAGGGUCAUGUUCUAGGUUCAGUUCCCUUAAGCAUCGUGUUCUUCAGUUGACAACAUCGAGGCAUUUGUCUGAGAAGG